AGUCUCAAUAUUAAUAUUAGAUAAAUAUACUUAAAUCAUAGAUGUAGCUUUAAAAAAAAUCAUAUAAAAGACAUAAAUUUAUCAAUGUUAAUCAUUAUUUAUAACAUUAAAUCAAAAACCCGUAAGACUUUGAAAUAAAUUAGUAUGAGUAAAAAACUUCUCUUUCUUUGGCUCCUCUCACCAAUUCAUGUCAUUUUUUACUUUCUUACAGUUUCAAUCAUAUACACAACAAUAAGAAAAAAAUCAUAAAAUCAUAAAUUUAAAAAGUAUUACUUCAAUCAUAUGUUUUUUAUGAUAUGUAUUUUUAGAAAGAAUCAAAUGUUAAUAAAUAAUUUAAGAUUCAAUAGUUUUUUUACUUAAAUAUCCAACAUAAAUAUUAUUCAUAACAAAAAAAAUCUAAAAUUUACAACUUCAGACACUAUUUGUCUCUAAUAUGGUAACAAAUGACACAACUCACCUAAAUUACAUACAAAGAUAGAAAUAAAUUUAUCU
rnacentral:lncRNA from 1 species